rnacentral:rRNA from 1 species
AGAGUUUGAUCCUGGCUCAGAACUAACGCUGGUGGCGUGUCUUAGUCAUGCAAGUCGAACGAGAAAGUGCCCUUCGGGGUGCGAGUACAGUGGCGAACGGGUGAGUAACACGUGGGUAACCUGCCUCCAAGCGGGGGACAACUCCUCUAACGAGGAGCUAAUACCGCAUAAUGCAUCGUUCUCGCAUGUGAAUGUUGCCAAAGGUGGCCUCUUCUUGAAAGCUGCCACUUGGAGAUGGACCCGCGCUCCAUUAGCUUGUUGGUGAGGUAACGGCUCACCAAGGCUACGAUGGAUAGCCGGCCUGAGAGGGUGAUCGGCCACACUGGAACUGAGACAAGGUCCAGUCCCCUACGGGGGCCAGCAGUCUAGAAAUUUGCACAAUGAACGAAAGUUCGAUGCAGCGACGCCACGUGAAGGAUGAAGCCUCUAGGGGUGUAAACUUCUGUCAGGAGGGAAGAAUGCGGAGGGGUGAAUAGCCUCUUCGUUUGACGGUACCUUCAGAGGAAGCUCCGGCUAACUUCGUGCCAGCAGCCGCGGUAAUACGAAGGGAGCGAGCGUUGUUCGGAUUUACUGGGCGUAAAGGGCGCGUAGGCGGGCUUGUAAGUCGAAUGUGAAAACUGUGGGCUCAACCGACAGACUGCAUUCGAAACUACAUGCCUUGAGUCUAGGAGAGGAGAGCGGAAUCGGCAGUGUAGCGGUGAAAUGCGUAGAUAUUGCCGAGAACACCGGUGGCGAAGGCGGCUCUCUGGUCUAGUACUGACGCUAAGGCGCGAAAGCUAGGGGAGCGAACGGGAUUAGAUACCCCGGUAGUCCUAGCCGUAAACGAUGGGCACUAGGUGUUGGAGGUGUUGACCCCUUCAGUGCCGCAGCUAACGCAUUAAGUGCCCCGCCUGGGGAGUACGGUCGCAAGUGUGAAACUCAAAGGAAUUGACGGGGGCCCGCACAAGCGGUGGAGUAUGUGGUUUAAUUCGAUGCAAUGCGAAGAACCUUACCAGGGCUUGACAUGUCGCGAAUCUCCUUGAAAGGGGAGAGUGCCUUCGGGAGCGCGAACACAGGUGGUGCAUGGCUGUCGUCAGCUCGUGUCGUGGGAUGUUGGGUUAAGUCCCGCAACGAGCGCAACCCUCGUCUUUAGUUGCCAGCAUUAAGGUGGGCACUUUAGAGAGACUGCCGGUGACAAACCGGAGGUAGGUGGGGAUGACGUCAAGUCAGCAUGCCCCUUACGCCCUGGGCUACACACGUACUACAAUGGUUGGGACAAAGGGCAGCGACCCCGCGAGGGAAAGCGAAUCUUAUCAAACCCAGCCUCAGUUCAGAUUGCAGGCUGCAACUCGCCUGCAUGAAGGAGGAAUCGCUAGUAAUCGCAGGUCAACAUACUGCGGUGAAUUCGUUCCCGGGCCUUGUACACACCGCCCGUCACACCAUGGAAGCUGGUCACGCCCGAAGUAU